rnacentral:lncRNA from 1 species
CUUUAAUCUCAUACAUACGAGUACAUAUGUCAUCUCUGGAACAUAAUGACAUGAUUUCAUUGUGCAUAGUCAAUUACUAAUUUUAUGAACAUUUUUUAAAGAUCUCACUCCUCUCCAGAAUAACCUGUCUUAUGCCUAAAACAUUAUGACUCAUUAGUCUUUUUUUUUUUUUUUUUGCUAGAGUCAAAACGUGAGACAAAAGUUUCUGCUCCCAAUCCCAAGUUCUGGAAUAUUGGCCGGCAGCAGCACCCUGAGUCAGCAAUCCCUACUGUGCACAAGACAUAGGCUUUUGCUAGUGACAUAAAUUAUGAAUCACAGGAUGCUAGAAUUGGAAUGACCUGGAAAACACAUGCAAAUGCCCAAGUUUCCCUGUUUACAGAAAAAUACUUCAAUGGCUAUAUCCUGCAGCUAUUUAAUUAGCAGAGCCAGGGUAAGACAACAGUAAACUCUCAACUGUGCCAGAUCCUCUUCUAAGUGUUUCACACAUUUGCUCAUUUAACCUCAUAUCCACCCUGUGAGGUAGGAACUCUUACUAUCUUCAUUUUCCUCACGAUGAAACUAAGGCACAGAGAGGUUAAGUAACUCCCCCAAGGUCAGACAGUGGUUCAGUCAGGGUUUAGGUCCAGGUUGUCCAAUCUGGUAUCCCAGCCUCUUAACCACUAGAAACCUUUGUAAGGGUUCUAAUGAAUUGAGAUUUUAAAAAUGCACAUUGAGGCCGGCAACAUCCACAGAUUUGGGGCCUGAAAGAGGAAGAUGACAUGCUUCCUGCACUCCCAGGUCUGCAAGCAGAAAAGACAGCGAGGUGCUCUUCCACAAAACAGGCGGCAUGCAGUGGCAGCCCAGGGAGCCCCGGGCAGGUCUGGGAAGGCACCUCCGAGCUGACAAGGGGGACUGAGCGACAAUAAAGGGAGGGCGACAGGCGCUGCAGGCAGGAGGAACAAUGGGACCCUGCACCCAGGAAGGCUGGGCAGGGUCUUUGUAAACAGUGGUGACCGUGGUUGCAGGAGUCAGCCGGGGAGGGGUCUCGAAUGUCACUCUGGAGGUGGGAAAACUCCCGCCACUGCCCCAUCACUCACCACAAGGGUCACGAAAGACUUCCACUAUUGUGAUAUUGAGCAAUCAAAUACUGUUGAGAGAAAUUUCAUCCCCCACAAGCAAGAGGAAGCAAAAAAGGAAAUGGCCCCUGUGCACCUAAUUCUGACCAACUGAUACCUGGUGGCUGACGUGGACAUGACUGGGAGCCUGGAGGUUACUGAGGCUCUCGUGUGCUCUGAGACUCCAGUUUCUGAGGUGCUCACACUGCUCAGACAUUCAGGAGGUGGGGAGGGGCCCCACUUCUACAGAUGAGAAAAUAAGAUCAGGCAGGCAGUGUGUGCCCCAGGAGAUAUCACGUAAGCGGCAGAGCCAAUAUGAUCAGGAGAGCCAGAGCAACCAAGGUCAGGACAUUCCAGUGACAACGGGCCCCUGGUGAGGGCAGGUGGCCUAUUUCAAGGGUAAACAGGAGCCUGGUCCGGCUGGAGCCAUGUGUGACGGGACUGAGAAGACUCCGGGUAUAAAGGCAGAGUGCAGUGACAAUGUGCCCUGAGAGCUGCCCUGGAGAAAUGCACUGCAGCGGGUUGGAAAUGGGGUCUCUCCAGGUGAUGGGAACAUGAACGAUGGUGCAUGUGGAAUGGAUGCAAAAGUGGGAGAAACUGGAGAACGGGGGCCUUCCCAGAGAGCUGCUGCUUUGAGCCUGGACACAGUAAUGAGAAGGAGAGUGACGGGGUGAGUGGAAGGCAAGGGCAGGAGAGGGGCUUCAGGGAAGAAUUAAUGAACUCGUGGACUAGCGCUUCCUGCCAACAGAAUAACUGCCCCAUCCCUGAGCCAAAACCCCGAACUUACAUGGACCUAAGGGCAGUAUCAAAAGUGAGAUUUCUAGGAUACAUGUACAACAAAAGAAAAAAUAAAUAAAAAUUGGACAUCAUCAAAAUUAAAAGCUUUAGUAUUUCAAAGGACAUCAUCAAGGAAAUGAAACAGCUCACGGAGAAAAAUU